rnacentral:rRNA from 1 species
CAAUAGCGUAUAUUAAAGUUGUUGCAGUUAAAAAGCUCGUAGUUGGAUUUCUGCUGAGAACGACCGGUCCGCCCUUUGGGUGUGUAUCUGGCUCUUUCUUGGCAUCUUCUUGGUGAACGUUGCUGCACUUGACUGUGUGGAGCGCUACCCAGGACUUUUACUUUGAGGAAAUUAGAGUGUUUCAAGCAGGCAUACGCCUUGAAUACAUUAGCAUGGAAUAAUAAGAUAGGACCUCGGUUCUAUUUUGUUGGUUUCUAGAGCUGAGGUAAUGAUUAAUAGGGAUAGUUGGGGGCAUUCGUAUUUAACUGUCAGAGGCGAAAUUCUUGGAUUUGUUAAAGACGGACUACUGCGAAAGCGUUUGCCCAGGAUGUUUUCAUUGA